AACGCACAUUGCGCCCGCCAGUAUUCUGGCGGGCAUGCCUGUUCGAGCGUCAUUUCAACCCUCAGGCCCCCAGUGCCUGGCGUUGGGGAUCGGCGCGGGCCCCGCCUCCGUCCUCCGGGACGGGCGCGGGUCGCCUGCCGGCCCCGAAAUUCAGUGGCGGUCUCGCUGUAGUCCCCCUCUGCGUAGUAGCACAACUCGCAUUGGAGCUCGGCGGUGGCCAUGCCGUAAAACACCCCACUUCUGAAAGUUGACCUCGGAUCAGGUAGGAAUACCCGCUGAACUUAA
rnacentral:misc_RNA from 1 species